UACGAAGGGGGCGAGCGUUGUUCGGAUUUACUGGGCGUAAAGGGCGCGCAGGCGGCGCAUUUUGUCAGGCGUGAAAGCCCCGGGCUUAACCUGGGACUGCGUUUGAUACGGAUGGGCUAGAGUUCGGGAGAGGAGAGUGGAAUUCCCAGUGUAGAGGUGAAAUUCGUAGAUAUUGGGAAGAACACCGGUGGCGAAGGCGGCGAGCCUGGUCCGUGACUGACGCUGAGGCGCCGAAAGCGUGGGGAGCAAACAGG
rnacentral:rRNA from 1 species